rnacentral:rRNA from 1 species
GAUGAACGCUGGCGGCGUGCCUAAUACAUGCAAGUCGAGCGAACGGACGAGAAGCUUGCUUCUCUGAUGUUAGCGGCGGACGGGUGAGUAACACGUGGAUAACCUACCUAUAAGACUGGGAUAACUUCGGGAAACCGGAGCUAAUACCGGAUAAUAUUUUGAACCGCAUGGUUCAAAAGUGAAAGACGGUCUUGCUGUCACUUAUAGAUGGAUCCGCGCUGCAUUAGCUAGUUGGUAAGGUAACGGCUUACCAAGGCAACGAUGCAUAGCCGACCUGAGAGGGUGAUCGCCCACACUGGAGCUGAGACACGGUCCAGACUCCUACGGGAGGCAGCAGUAGGGAAUCUUCCGCAAUGGGCGAAAGCAUGACGGAGCAACGCCGCGUGAGUGAUGAAGGUCUUCGGAGCGUAAAACUCUGUUAUUAGGGAAGAACAUAUGUGUAAGUAACUGUGCACAUCUUGACGGUACCUAAUCAGAAAGCCACGGCUAACUACGUG